AGUCGAGCGAGCCGAACUAAUUGAUUACCUUCGGGUAUGAAGUUAGGGAAGCGAGCGGCGGAUGGGUGAGUAACACGUGGGUAACCUACCCUAUAGUCUGGGAUACCACUUGGAAACAGGUGCUAAUACCGGAUAAAAGGAGAGAUCACAUGAUUUCUUUUUGAAAGGCGGCGUAAGCUGUCGCUAAAGGAUGGACCCGCGGUGCAUUAGCUAGUUGGUAAAGUAACGGCUUACCAAGGCAACGAUGCAUAGCCGAGUUGAGAGACUGAUCGGCCACAUUGGGACUGAGACACGGCCCAAACUCCUACGGGAGGCAGCAGUAGGGAAUCUUCCACAAUGGACGCAAGUCUGAUGGAGCAACGCCGCGUGAGUGAAGAAGGUUUUCGGAUCGUAAAGCUCUGUUGUUGGUGAAGAAAGAUAGUGAGAGUAACUGCUCAUUAUUUGCCGGUAAUCAACCAGAAAGUCACGGCUAACUACGUGCCAGCAGCCGCGGUAAUACGUAGGUGGCAAGCGUUGUCCGGAUUUAUUGGGCGUAAAGCGAGCGCAGGCGGAAAGAUAAGUCAGAUGUGAAAGCCCUCGGCUUAACCGAGGAAUAGCAUCGGAA
rnacentral:rRNA from 1 species